rnacentral:rRNA from 1 species
AGUCACUGACAUUAGACUACCCCGGUAGUCCCAGCCGUAAACAAUGUGCGUUAGGUGUGUCGGUAACCACGCGUUACUGAUGCGCCGAAGAGAAAUCGUGAAACGCACCACCUGGGAAGUACGGUCGCAAGGCUGAAACUUAAAGGAAUUGGCGGGGGAGCACCACAACAGGUGGAGCCUGCGGUUUAAUUGGAUUCAACGCCGGACAUCUCACCGGAUAAGACAGCUGAAUGAUUGUCAAUCUGAAGGUUUUACAUGACUAGCUG